UACGAAGGGGGCUAGCGUUGUUCGGAAUUACUGGGCGUAAAGCGCACGUAGGCGGCCUACUAAGUCAGGGGUGAAAUCCCGGGGCUCAACCCCGGAACUGCCUUUGAUACUGAUAGUCUCGAGUCCGGAAGAGGUGAGUGGAAUUCCGAGUGUAGAGGUGGAAUUCGUAGAUAUUCGGAGGAACACCAGUGGCGAAGGCGGCUCACUGGUCCGGUACUGACGCUGAGGUGCGAAAGCGUGGGGAGCAAACAGG
rnacentral:rRNA from 1 species